rnacentral:lncRNA from 9 species
AAGGAAUUAAAGGAUGCCGAGACCAAGUGAGAUAUUUCACUUUCUUGUCCUCUUAGUCCUGUAUUGUGAGGGCCAAACGUGUUGGUAGAGUGGAAAUCCAGGGAGAAACUCCUCCCCAGUCACUUAAACUGACAGCCAGCCUUGAUGGAGCUCUGUGAGCCAGGCACUCUUCCUCAGUGCUCUCUGCUAGGGUUGCCUCACAGUCCUUUCAGGUGAAAUGCUAGCAUUGGUCCCUGCUUUACUGUUGGGGCAAAUGAAGCACAGAGAAGUUUGGUGACUUGCUCAGCAUCACACAGCUAAUUGUACAGGACCGAUGCUUCUUCUGUAAAAAGAUACACAGCCCCCCUCUAGCUUUGUGGCUCAGCGUUCUCAGGGUAAAAUGCUACAGCAGGAAAGGGAGGGGAGAUCUGGCUGGGAUAUACCAAAGGGAGAAAAACAAGGGAGGCUCUUAAAGUCCAGGCAAGGCAAUGCCUCCCAUGACAGGGCAAUGGCUCAUCAGUGAGAUAUCAGUCAGGCUCCCCAGCCUCAGAGGCCCGUCCAGGGUUUCUGUGCUGCCCAGAGCAUGUUGCUUAAUCGCCUGUGGGGGAGCUGCAGCCCUGGAAAGGAGCCUGGGCUGUGGGGCUGCCAGGACCUGGCUGGUCUUCUACUCCAAGACAGAGGAGAAUAUCAUUCUUGGGCCCUUACCCAUGGGAUUGAGAAUAUUAAUGCCAGGAAGAGGUCAGACAUUGAUAUUGAAGAGCAGACCUGUGUUGGAAUGAAUGCAGUUCUAGGGCGAGACUGGUGAAUGAAGAAGGGUAAGUAUGAAUGAGGGCUGACUAGAGCAUGACAGAGAAGAAGGUCAAAAGUACCACAUGUUAAGCUGAAGCCAAGGUUUUUGGGUUUUUUUUUCUCUUUUUUUGGCCAUCCCCAUGGCAUAUGGAGUUCCUGGGCCAGGGACCAGAUCUCAGCCAGAGCUGCUGGACCCUUAACCCACUUAACUCAUUGUGCCAGGCCAGGGAUUGAACCUGAGUGCUAGGGCUCCAGAGACACUUCUGAUCCUGCUGCACCAUAGCAGGAACUCCUGAAGCCAAGAGUCUAAUGAAAGAUUAAGGUGUUCUAAUAAAAGACAGCAAGUGCUCAGCAAAUGCUUCUCAACUGGAUAAAUCAGAAGAUGCUGGUCAGGGGAUCCUUGGCGGGUGAAGGUGCAGAGGCAACCAGCUUGGGAUGUUAAGGGUCUGCAGAGAGUGUAAUUGCGGCUUGAACUGGGGGCAUCCUUGGAAGAGUAGGUACCAAGCAACAGGAACAGAACACCGAAGCUGGGCUUGGUUAAGUGGGAUGGGGCAGAAACUGCUAAUGGCUUACCAGUAUCUACUCUCCCCAUUGUAACACAACCCAGAUUUUAAACUAGAUGACAAGGUGCCCAGUUGAAAGACAACAUUAGUCAGUCAUAUUUGCAGCUGGGAUGGCCACUAAGGUAUAAACAGAAGUUGGAACUAUAUUCAAUAUCCUGUGAUAAACCAUAAUGGAGAAGAAUAUGAAAAAGAAUAUAUAUGGUAUACAUAUGCAUAACUGAAUCACUUUACUGUAGAGCAGAAAUUAACAUAGCAUUGUAAAUCAACUACAUCUCAAUAAAUUUUUUUUAAAAAAGAGUUAUAAGUGGAGGUUGUUGCACGGGGGGUGGGGGGCGCUCUUCUGUGAAGAGGUGAUAGAAUACUAACAUACUUGUAUUUUUCCCUUUUCCCUUCUUCCUGUGCCUUCCUAGAAACGAAAGAUCAAUGUGAUGGUUAGAUCUUCAGCUAUUGAGUCAUGUAGUGAAUUUGAAAAUGGAAGCCAUAUCCUAAGGACAGCAGAACAAAAAGAUAGAGGAAACCUGGAACAUUGAUGACUCUGUAGCUCCCAUACCACUCAGAAUUCAGCCUUCCUUUGUAUGAGAAAUAAGAUAUUAUCUUAUUGAAGCUACUAUUAUUUCCUCCUUCACCUGGGACAUCACAAGCCUAGGGAUCUUUGGAAGGUUUCAAACAAAGAGUGAAGAAUUAGGGAUUUUAUUUGUUUAGUUUUUGGUUGUUUAUUUUUUAAGUUAAAUAGGCUGUAAAAUAAAAGUGUUUUAAUUUGAAAAAAUAGUCUCUGAGCUCUAUCAUAAAAGGAAUCAAGGGGUUAUAUAUUAUUGUAUUAUGUAUUUAUUUGGCUUAAACAAAAAGAGGGUUUUAUUUGCUUAUGUAAUUGAGAAAUCCAGAAGUUGGGUGGGCUUAGGUAAGGCCAUCUCUAGUAGCUGGAUAAGCCAACCAAGAUUCAGUGUCUUUCCAUUUCUUCUGAGUCUCCCACGGUUUUUCUUAGAUUGUCUCAUCUACUGACCACAAAAGCCCAGAAGCCCUUGGCAAAGUCUCCUUAUAUCUGGACCAGGGGGCUCUCCCCAAACCAGUCACUGUGGCUAGGGUAGCUAGCACACUAG